rnacentral:rRNA from 1 species
AGUGAACGCUGGCGGCGUGGUUGAGACAUGCAAGUCGAACGAGCCGUUCGGCCGAAAGGUUGGACGGCUAGUGGCGAAAGGGAGAGUACAAAGCAGGCAACGUACCCCGGACACUGGGACAGUCCGCCGAAAGGCGGGUUAAUACCAGAUGACGUUCCGGUUCGGAUGAACCGGAAUCAAAGGUGGGGAUCCUUCGGGACCUGUCGGUCUGGGAGCGGCCUACUCCGUAUCAGCUAGUUGGUGAGGUAACGGCUCACCAAGGCGAUGACGCGUAGCCGGCCUUAGCGGGUGUCCGGCCUCACUGGGACUGAGACACUGCCCAGAGCCCUACGGGGUGCAGCAGUCUCGAAUCAUCCGCAAUGCGCGCAAGCGUGACGGUGCGACGCCGCGUGCGGGAGGAAGCCCUUCGGGGUGUAAACCGCUUUUCGGAGGCAUGAAGCGUGCCCGUUGAACAGGCGGGUGGCGCAGACGUCAACU